CAUCAUUCCAUUCCUAGGUAUAUACCCAAGAGAACUGAACUAUCAACUCAUGGGAGGAUAAACAACAUGUGGUAUAUGCACACCAUGGAAUAUUAUGCAGCCAGAAAAGGAAUGAAGUACUGAUACCUGCCACACCUGAACCUUAAAAACAUGCUGGGUAAAAGAAGUCAGACACAAAAAGCCACAUACGGUUCCCGAUUCUUCUCCCUCUGGGAUGAUUGUAUGCUUACCAUUUCCUCCACACCGUGAGUGGCAGCCAAUGCAGGGAUUCUGGAGGUUCUGCUUUCUGCUCCAGCUUUAAUUCCAGUCCCACAGCCAUCGCAGAAACAGGGCAGAGACGGAGCGGCCGGCACGCUGGAUGCUGUGGGCUUUGCUUUCCUCUUCUGUUUCUUGGUUCAACGGGUGGUGCUCUGGAGAACCCAGGCAUGGGAAAUAAAAGCCAGAGGAGAUCAUUUAGGAGAACAAAUGACACCUCCACAUUUCAGAGAUUCAGGAAUAAAGGAGAUACACCAAGAAGACGGUCAUCUGAAAACCAGGAAGAGGGUCCUCACCACGAACCGAAUCAGCCGGCACCUUGAUUUUGGACUUCUCAGCCUUCAGAAUCGAAAGGCUCUUCCGGCAGACUGGAGUGGGGAAAUGUUAAGAGAGGAGAAGGGUUUCAGUGUUACUGUUGUCUCUGCUGGAGGGUGGAGAGUCGGAGGCCUCAGCACAUCUGCAGUGCCAUGGAUGUGACAUCAUGUAACUGUCUGAUCACCCAUGGUGGACAGGUUUCACCUGAGCUUCCAGACGAAGAUAGACUAGGAAGAAGGACCUGGCCACCCACUUCUGAAAAAAUUGGCCACGAAAACCCUAUGAAUAGCAGCGGAACAUUGUCUGAUACAGCGCUGGAAGGUUUUAAAACUUCUGGAAAAUGAACCUAUGGACUGUGUUGCGUGGAGGAAGUGUGGGCCUUGGAGGCCGGGAUUGGAAGCUCUGCUUGAGUGUGCUGGAACACAGAGCUGGCCAAAGUGACUUCCUCUUUCAGUCUGGCUUGGCUUGCCUCCUGCGUGGUUUAGGUCCUGUUUUGGAAUGAAGUGUGGAACUCGGAUUGAUGUGGAAGUCAAGGUCAGAUAAAGAACCAUUGUCAUGGGGAGACGUAGGCAGAAAUGGGUCUGCAGAUCCACAGGGAAUGCUCU
rnacentral:lncRNA from 1 species